AUGCAGUCGACGUGAUCCGGGACUUCGGUUCCGGUGAAGUGGCGCACGGGUGAGUAACGCGUGGGAACCUGCCCAAAGGUAAGGAAUAACCGCGGGAACUGCGGCUAAUACCUUAUGCUCCCUUCGGGGGAAGAUUUAUCGCCUUUGGAUGGGCCCGCGUCGGAUUAGCUAGUUGGUGAGGUAACGGCUCACCAAGGCGACGAUCCGUAGCUGGUCUGAGAGGAUGAUCAGCCACACUGGGACUGAGACACGGCCCAGACUCCUACGGGAGGCAGCAGUGGGGAAUAUUGGACAAUGGGCGCAAGCCUGAUCCAGCAAUGCCGCGUGAGUGAUGAAGGCCUUAGGGUUGUAAAGCUCUUUCGGCGGGGAAGAUGAUGACGGUACCCGCAGAAGAAGCCCCGGCUAACUUCGUGCCAGCAGCCGCGGUAAUACGAAGGGGGCUAGCGUUGUUCGGAAUUACUGGGCGUAAAGGGCGCGUAGGCGGCGCGUUAAGUCAGGUGUGAAAGCCCUGGGCUCAACCCAGGAAUUGCACUUGAUACUGACGUGCUUGAAUCCGGAAGAGGAUGACGGAAUUCCCAGUGUAGAGGUGAAAUUCAUUGAUAUUGGGAAGAACACCAGUGGCGAAGGCGGUCAUCUGGUCCGGUAUUGACGCUGACGCGCGAAAGCGUGGGAGCAAACAGAUUAGAUACCCUGUAGUCCACGCCGUAACGAUGAGUGCUAGACGUCGGGGGUUGCCUCUCGGUGUCGCCGCUACGCAUUAGCACUCCGCUGGGGAGUACGCGCAAGUAAAC
rnacentral:rRNA from 1 species